GUCCACGCCGUAAACGAUGUUCACUCGCUGUAUGCGAUACACAGUAUGCGGCCAAGCGAAAGUAUUAAGUGAACCACCUGGGGAGUACGUCGGCAACGGUGAAACUCAAAGGAAUUGACGGGGCCCGCACAAGCGGAGGAACAUGUGGUUUAAUUCGAUGAUACGCGAGGAACCUUACCUGGGCUUAAAUGUAGGUUGCAUUUUUCGGGAAACCGGGAUUCCCUUCGGGGCUACUUACAAGGUGCUGCAUGGUUGUCGU
rnacentral:rRNA from 1 species